UACGUAGGGUGCAAGCGUUGUCCGGAAUUAUUGGGCGUAAAGAGCUCGUAGGCGGUCUGUUGCGUCGGCUGUGAAAACCCGGGGCUCAACCCCGGGCCUGCAGCCGAUACGGGCAGACUAGAGUUCGGCAGGGGAGACUGGAAUUCCCGGUGUAGCGGUGAAAUGCGCAGAUAUCAGGAGGAACACCGGUGGCGAAGGCGGGUCUCUGGGCCGAUACUGACGCUGAGGGGCGAAAGCGUGGGGAGCGAACAGG
rnacentral:rRNA from 1 species